rnacentral:rRNA from 1 species
GAUGAACGCUAGCGGCAGGCCUAAUACAUGCAAGUCGGACGGGAUUGGAGAGCUUGCUUUCCAUGAGAGUGGCGCACGGGUGCGUAACACGUAUGUAACCUACCCUUAUCAGGGGGAUAGCCUCUCGAAAGAGAGAUUAAGCCCGCAUAACAUGAAGACACAGCAUUGUGAUUUCAUCAAAUAUUUAUAGGAUAAGGAUGGGCAUGCGGAACAUUAGCUAGUUGGUAAGGUAACGGCUUACCAAGGCUACGAUGUUUAGGGGAUCUGAGAGGAUGACCCCCCACACUGGUACUGAGACACGGACCAGACUCCUACGGGAGGCAGCAGUAAGGAAUAUUGGUCAAUGGGCGGAAGCCUGAACCAGCCAUGCCGCGUGCAGGAAGACGGCCCUACGGGUUGUAAACUGCUUUUGCAGGGGAAUAAACCCCCGUAUGUAUACGGGGUUGAAUGUACUCUGAGAAUAAGGAUCGGCUAACUCCGUGCCAGCAGCCGCGGUAAUACGGAGGAUCCGAGCGUUAUCCGGAUUUAUUGGGUUUAAAGGGUGCGUAGGCGGCUUAUUAAGUCAGGGGUGAAAGACGGUAGCUUAACUAUCGCAGUGCCCUUGAUACUGAUG